CGAAAGCCUGACGGAGCAAUACCGCGUGAGGGAGGAAGGCUCUAGGGUUGUAAACCUCUUUUCUCAGGGAAGAACAAAAUGACGGUACCUGAGGAAUAAGCAUCGGCUAACUCCGUGCCAGCAGCCGCGGUAAUACGGAGGAUGCAAGCGUUAUCCGGAUUUAUUGGGCGUAAAGCGUCCGCAGGUGGCAGUUCAAGUCUGCUGUUAAAGGUCGGGGCUCAACCCCGAACAGGCAGUGGAAACUGAACAGCUGGAGUACGGUAGGGGUAGAGGGAAUUCCCAGUGUAGCGGUGAAAUGCGUAGAGAUUGGGAAGAACACCGGUGGCGAAAGCGCUCUGCUAGGCCGAAACUGACACUCAUGGACGAAAGCUAGGGGAGCG
rnacentral:rRNA from 1 species